rnacentral:rRNA from 1 species
CUACGGGUGGCAGCAGUGGGGAAUAUUGGACAAUGGGCGAAGGCCUGAUCCAGCAACGCCGCGUGGGUGAUGAGGGCCUUCGGGUCGUAAAGCCCUGUCGGCGGGAACGAAACCCCGAGGUUCGAAUAGGACUUCGGAUUGACGGUACCCGCAAAGGAAGCACCGGCUAACUCCGUGCCAGCAGCCGCGGUAAAACGGAGGUGCUAGCGUUGUUCGGAAUUACUGGGCGUAAAGCGCGUGCAGGCGGUCUUUUAAGUCCCGUAUGAAAUCCCCCGGCUCAACCGAGGAACGGUGCGGGAAACUGGAAGACUUCGAGUCCGGGAGAAGAGGGCGGAAUUCCCAGUGUAGAGGUGAAAUUCGUAGAUAUUGGGAGGAACACCGGCGGCGAAAGCGGCUCUCUAGACCGGUACUGACGCUUAGACGCGAGAGCGCGGGGAGCAAACAGGAUUAGAUACCCCUGUAGUC